UACAGAGGUGGCAAGCGUUGUUCGGAAUUACUGGGCGUAAAGGGCGCGUAGGCGGCCUGCUCAGUCGGACGUGAAAGCCCCAGGCUUAACCUGGGAACUGCGUCCGAUACUGGCAGGCUUGGAUUCGGGAGAGGGAUGUGGAAUUCCAGGUGUAGCGGUGAAAUGCGUAGAUAUCUGGAGGAACACCGGUGGCGAAGGCGGCAUCCUGGACCGGUAUUGACGCUGAGGCGCGAAAGCUAGGGGAGCAAACGGG
rnacentral:rRNA from 1 species